rnacentral:rRNA from 1 species
AAACCAGGAUUAGAUACCCUGGUUAGUUCACCCCGUAAACGAUGAAUAUUAGGUGUCGGGGGGACAAAAGUCCUUUCGGUGCCGGUCGCAAACGCAGUAAGUAUUCCACCUGGGGAGUACGUUUCGCUAGAAAGAAACUCAAAAGAAUAGACGGGGACCCGCACAAGCGGUGGAGCAUGUGGUUUAAUUUGAAGCAACGCGAAGAACCUUACCAAAUCUUGACAUCCCUCUUUCCAGCCCGUAAUGGGGGUUUCCCUUCUGGGCAGAGGAGACAGGUGGUGCAUGGUUGUUGUCAGCUCGCGUCGUGAGAUGUUGGGUUAAGUCCCGCAACGAGCGCAACCCCUGUUCUUUGUAGCCAGCAUGUUAAGAUGGGCACUCUAAGGAGACUGCCGGGGAUAACCCGGAGGAAGGUGGGGAGGACGUCAAAUCAUCAUGCCCCCUACGAUUUGGGGUACACACGUGCUACAAUGGCGUAAACAAAGGGAGGGGAACCCGCGAGGGGGAGCAAAUCCCAAAAAUAACGUCUCAGUUCGGAUUGUAGUCUGCAACUCGACUACAUGAAGCUGGAAUCGCUAGUAAUCGCAAAUCAGAAUGUUGCGGUGAAUAAGUUCCCGGGUCUUGUACACACCGCCCGUCA